rnacentral:hammerhead_ribozyme from 1 species
AUACAGCUGACGAGUCCCGAAUAGGACGAAACGCGCGUCCUGGAU